rnacentral:snRNA from 1 species
GUGCUCGCUUCGGCAGCACAUAUACUAAAAUUGGAAUGAUACAGAGAAGAUUAGCAUGGCCAAAGGAAAAAAAAAAAAAAGAAAGUUCCUUCAGUGUA